GAUUAACGCUAGCGGCAGGCCUAAUACAUGCAAGUCGCACGGGGAUUUCGGGUAGCAAUAUCUGAAUGAGAGUGGCGCACGGGUGCGUAACACGUAUGCAAUCUACCUUUAACUGGGGAAUAGCUCACCGAAAGGUGAAUUAAUACCGCAUAAAAUCACAGAAGGACAUCCUUUAAUGAUUAAACCCACGGGGGUUAAAGAUGAGCAUGCGUCCGAUUAGCUAGUUGGCGGGGAAUAGCCCACCAAGGCAACGAUCGGUAGGGGGUCUGAGAGGAUGAUCCCCCACACUGGUACUGAGAUACGGACCAGACUCCUACGGGAGGCAGCAGUAAGGAAUAUUGGACAAUGGGGGCAACCCUGAUCCAGCCAUGCCGCGU
rnacentral:rRNA from 1 species